GCAAAAUCUAGGUGCUGCAAGAAAAGUCACAGCCUUGGGGUUUCAGUGAAGAGACAGCCCAAAUGCUCUUGAAGUAGUCAGAAAAGUCUACAGGUGUGACUCCCUUAUGCCGCUCUCUCCUGCCAUUUGGGCAACAGCCAACUUCCGAGGCCAACCUUGUUUCUGGAGAAGCAUUCUUCCCACAUGGGAAAGGCAAGGAUGGUGCUGAGCCUGUCUGCCUCUGUGUUCCCUGGACAACUCCAUUCCAGUGCAAGAUUCUCAUGGUUGAAUUCAUAGUGGGCUUCUAUGACUUCUG
rnacentral:lncRNA from 1 species